GGUUCGAUCCUGGCUCAGAUUGAACGCUGGCGGGAUGCUUUACACGCAUGCAAGUCGAACGCAGCAGCACGGACUUCCGGUCUGGUGGCGAGUGGCAAUGGUGGUGUGUAUCGGAACGUGCCUAGUAGCGCGGGAGGAUAAACGCCAGCGUAGCUAAUACCACCGCCACGCCCUUCGGGGGAAAGCGGGGGCCUUCAAGGGCCUCGCCGCUGUGAAGCGGCCGAUAUCGGAUUAGCUAUGGUGGUGAGGUAACGGCUCACCAAGGCGACUGAUCCGUAGCUGGUUCAGAGGACGACCAGCCACACUGGGACUGAGACACGGCCCAGACUCCUACAAGGCGCGGCAGUGGGGAAUUUUUGGACAAUGGAAGCCUGGUCCAGCCAUCCCGCGUGCGAUGAAGGCCUUCGGGUUAUAAAAGCACUUUGGCAGGAAAGAAGCAGCACAGGAUAUGCCCCAUGCAGCUGACUAAUGCAGGAGUCGCUGUGCUUCUACGUGCCAGCGGCGCGGUAUCGGUACGAAGCGUUGAUGGAAUUACUGAGCGUAAAGCGUGCAGGCAGUUCGGAAAGAAAGAUGUGAAAUCCCAGAGCUUAACAGUUCGGCGCACCCAACUACCGAGCUGAAAUUGUGUCAGAGGAGGUGCGUGAUUCCAUGAUGUUGUGAUGAAAUGCGUAGAUAUGCGGAGGAACACCGAUAGCCGAAGGCAGCCUCCUGAGAUACUUUUUACUGACGCUCAUGCACGGCGUGAGGCUCGACAGGAUUGAAGAUACCCUGGUAGUCCACGCCUAAACGAUGUCAACCCAGCUGUUCAGACCUUCGGGCCUUGGUAGCGCAAUAACGCGCGUGAAGUUGACCGCCUGGAAGCUGAGAUACGCGAUUAACUCAAAAUUGACGGGGACCCGCACAAGCGGUGGAUGAUG
rnacentral:misc_RNA from 1 species